UACGAAGGGGGCUAGCGUUGCUCGGAAUCACUGGGCGUAAAGGGUGCGUAGGCGGGUCUUUAAGUCGGGGGUGAAAUCCUGAGGCUCAACCUCAGAACUGCCUUCGAUACUGGCAAUCUCGAGUCCGGAAGAGGUUGGUGGAACAGCUAGUGUAGAGGUGAAAUUCGUAGAUAUUAGCUAGAACACCAGUGGCGAAGGCGGCCAACUGGUCCGGUACUGACGCUGAGGUGCGAAAGCGUGGGGGAGCAAACAGG
rnacentral:rRNA from 1 species